UGUUCUAGAUCAGUGUCCCUGAAACACAUUACAAAACUGCCCUACACUGCAGUACAUUUGGACAAACUAACUAUCGGACUUUUGAUGGAAAAUUGUACGAUUUUGAUGGCGGUUGCUCGUAUAACCUGGUUUCUGGUAAAGAAGCGGGAAGCAAUCUGUUUCAGAUUUAUGUCAAGAACAGACAAAGAUGUGUGAAUAGAAUCUGCCGACGUGGUUUAGUGAUUUAUCUCGGCCACUCACAGCACAAGAUUGUUUUGGAAACAAAUGAGAAUGGAACAGUUUCUGCAACAACCGAUACUCAAAGUUUAGACAUACCAACUACAAUUUAUUCGCACGGAAUUGAAAAGAUUUCCGGUAAUGUGAUUGUGAAAGGGCCUUACUUUGUUUUGGUAUGGAAUACCGAAGAAACUAGAACAUUGAGAUUGGUCCAGAAUGGAAAAACAAAACAAUAGGUUUGUGUGGAAAUUGUAACGGCGACCAAACUGAUGAAUUUACAAAUGAAUUUGAGACUCUGCCUUCUGCACAAGCAUUUGGGAACAGUAUCGCUGCAGUUGGUUGUGACAGUACACCGCCUAAGGCAAAAUGCCAACCUUCUACGACCGACAAACUGAUAUGCAACCUCAUUACCAAGAUAACCCUUAAUUGUGCUAAGACUUUCGAUACAACUUUAUACAUAGCACAAUGUUUAGAGAAUCUUUGCAAAUGUGAGAAACCAAUAGACUGUUUUUGCAAUAUUGCGGAAGCUUUACUCAGAGAAUGUGGUGGCAUAGACAACCCUGUUUUUUCGGAGAAAUGCCCUAAGAAGUGCCCUGGCAAUCAAGUCUACAGUUCUUGCAUAAGUGCUUGCCCUGCUACUUGUACAGCUACAGAGCAGUUGUGUCCUUACACAGGCUGCAUUUCCGGCUGUAGGUGCCCGGAAAAUAAAGUGUUGCACAACGGUUUAUGUAUUAAUAGAGAAUCAUGCCCGUGCAGUCACCAAGGGAAACACUACCCUUCUGGUCAAAGCAUAAAACAGG